rnacentral:rRNA from 1 species
UAUGCCUGCGCAGCUAUAAUGCAGUCGAGCGGACUUGAUGGAGUGCUUGCACUCCUGAUGGUUAGCGGCGGACGGGUGAGUAACACGUAGGCAACCUGCCCUCAAGACUGGGAUAACUACCGGAAACGGUAGCUAAUACCGGAUAAUUUAUUUUGCAGCAUUGUGAAAUAAUGAAAGGCGGAGCAAUCUGUCACUUGAGGAUGGGCCUGCGGCGCAUUAGCUAGUUGGUGGGGUAACGGCCCACCAAGGCGACGAUGCGUAGCCGACCUGAGAGGGUGAACGGCCACACUGGGACUGAGACACGGCCCAGACUCCUACGGGAGGCAGCAGUAGGGAAUCUUCCGCAAUGGGCGAAAGCCUGACGGAGCAACGCCGCGUGAGUGAUGAAGGUUUUCGGAUCGUAAAGCUCUGUUGCCAAGGAAGAACGUCUUCUAGAGUAACUGCUAGGAGAGUGACGGUACUUGAGAAGAAAGCCCCGGCUAACUACGUGCCAGCAGCCGCGGUAAUACGUAGGGGGCAAGCGUUGUCCGGAAUUAUUGGGCGUAAAGCGCGCGCAGGCGGUUCUUUAAGUCUGGUGUUUAACCCCGAGGCUCAACUUCGGGUCGCACUGGAAUCUGGUGAACUUGAGUGCCGAAGAGGAUAGUGUACCUCCCCGUGUAGCGGUGAAAUGCGUAGAUAUGUGGAGGCACAUCAGUGGCGAAGGCUGCUCUCUGGUCUGUAACUGAGGCUGAGGCGUCAAUUGCGGGGUAAGCACAC